GUUCGUACCCGGUCCGGGUCGGCUGGGCUGCCCGCCGCUCCGCGCGCCCGGGCGGUCGCAGGUCGCGCCUGCUUUGGCCCCGGCGGGUUCGGCAUCCGAGCCUGGCAGGGGCCAAUAGAAAGUUUCCUACACUACUGAGGUUUAGGGGCACUGUGAAGCAAAAGCCACGCCUCAGAAUCCCAGGCGGAGACUCCGACCUCGUCCCGGGAGGGAAGCCAGUAGCUGAGCACCUGCGGGAGAUUAAAGAGAGGAAUAAGGAGGUGAGUACAUGACAAAGAGCCACAGUCGCAGGCGGUGGGGCCUGGCUCAGAACAGGCUGUGCUGGGAAGCGGGAGCAGGAGCUGGCGCCGCCUUGCGGGCUGGCAGAGGACCAUCCACUCCCUGGCGCUGGGGCCGUCCCAUCUCAUGGGCAAGAAACGUGAGACCCCUGGCUCGCUCCACACACAACCUAAGUGCCAGAUGGAUGAGACGCCUACGCGUGAGUAAAUGCCAGGAACAUGAGACUCGAACGUGGCAGGAUAUCCUUCUGCCCACGAAUCUAAAAGCUUACUCGGUAAUGGGAGAAUGGUUCCAAUUUGAUAAACUCGGGUUUUUGGAACGUCUGUGCUCCAGAAACACUGGAAGGCAAGUGGCUGCUGACUGGAGGAGAUAAUUGGAUGCUGCAAGCGGCAAAGGGCUCGGGAUGCAAAACACCGCAAGAAAUGCAACAAGUGAGGAGCAUUCCCGCAAAGAAAAAACGCACAGGCCGAGAGCAGUGGCUCACGCCUGUAAUCCCAGCAGUUUGGGAGGCCGAGGCAGGUGCAUCGCUUGAGGACAGGAGUUCGAGACUAGGCUGGCCAACAUGGUGAAACCCCAUCUCUACUAAAAAUACAA
rnacentral:lncRNA from 1 species